rnacentral:rRNA from 1 species
AUUGAACGCUGGCGGCAUGCCUUACACAUGCAAGUCGAACGGUAACGCGGGGCAACCUGGCGACGAGUGGCGAACGGGUGAGUAAUGUAUCGGAACGUGCCCAGUUGUGGGGGAUAACUGCUCGAAAGAGCAGCUAAUACCGCAUACGACCUGAGGGUGAAAGCGGGGGAUCGCAAGACCUCGCGCAAUUGGAGCGGCCGAUAUCAGAUUAGGGAGUUGGUGGGGUAAAGGCUCACCAAGCCAACGAUCUGUAGCUGGUCUGAGGGGACGACCAGCCAGACUGGGAGUGCGAAACGGCCCAGACGCCUACGGGAGGCAGCAGUGAGGAAUUUGGGACAAAGGGCGCAAGUCUGAGCCAGCCAUGCCGCGAGCGGGAAGGAGGCCGUCGGGUUGUAAACCGCUUGUGUCAGGGAAGAAACGCUCUGGGUUAAUACCUCGGGGUAAUGACGGUACCGGAAGAAUAAGCACCGGCUAACUACGUGCCAGCAGCCGCCGCGGUAA